UACGUAGGGGGCGAGCGUUGUCCGGAUUCAUUGGGCGUAAAGAGCUCGUAGGCGGCUUGGUUAGUUGGGUGUGAAACCUCCAGGCUUAACCUGGAGACGCCACUCAAUACUGCCAUGGCUAGAGUCCGGUAGGGGACCACGGAAUUCCUGGUGUAGCGGUGAAAUGCGCAGAUAUCAGGAGGAACACCGGUGGCGAAGGCGGUGGUCUGGGCCGGCACUGACGCUGAGGAGCGAAAGCGUGGGGAGCGAACAGG
rnacentral:rRNA from 3 species